CCCGCCGCCCCCGCCAGGGCUCUGGCGCCCCCAGAACUAAUCUCCAGUGGCUUUGCAAGCUGAACGACUUCAGCCUCCAUAACUACCGCAGAGAAGCGCUUAGUAGCAGUGAAAAGUCUGAAGUAGGAAAGGGCAGUGUGACCAAAUGACUAAGAUUUAAAAUCCACAAGCCUGUGUUGAUACGCAGCAUGGGCCCAGCACAAUGUGCUUGUAGCUACAGGGAUAAAUCAAGAGGAAGAAGUCAAAAUUUGCCUUAGGAAUUAAAAUGUGGGAAGCAAUGCUGGCAGGAUGUGGAUUCCUUACGGGAUGGGAAGGUCAGGACCAGCGCAGGGCCUGUCCCACAGUAGUGGCACUGGCCUGAGCUGCUGCCUCCUGCCACCAGCACCUUUUCAUGUGCAAAGACUGAACCCUGCUCGACAGAUGCACACCAGCAGGGAAAGUCAAGCAUGUGCUGAUUCCUGUGGCACAAGUAGGAAACACUUUCCAGAGUCAGAGUGUGAAACAGCCCUGUCCAACUGCAGUUCCCACUGGAGAAACACAAACCCUCCAGGUCAGUGGUGUGGUCUGAAUGAGGAAUGCCAGUUCUCACUUUUAUUAUCACAAGGACACACAAAAAGAAUUAAAGAUGAGGGCAAACAAAAUACACACGACCCCUCCAAACACUACUGUCAAAAGUUUUAACUAACAUCUUUGGUUUAGAGACUGCCUCACUGAUGUGACUGGCUGCACUUACAGGACGGUUACGUUACCUUAUGGUUACAAGGGGAAAGUUUACCAAUCUCAUUCAAAUAUAAUCAAAUAUUCAAUACCAGAGUUAGAUGAAGGAAUAUUG